GAAGUGCCAAGACCCAUGGAGACUGAGCUGCCUGGGAAAUUUGGGGCUGUUGAUCCAAUUGGGGUGGGCAGCGGCAGUAAAAGAAUGGUGGGGACAGACAUGAAGUCUGGGGGUAAAUAUCUGGACUUCGAGUUCUUCUAGCUCAGGCUUCAUUGUGCUGUGUUGUAUUAGUAUUAGUUCAUCUUACAAGAGUAUGCCUGUAUUCUGUUCUGAUAAUGAACUUCAGUUCACCUGCCUCA
rnacentral:misc_RNA from 1 species